UACGGAGGGGGCUAGCGUUGUUCGGAAUUACUGGGCGUAAAGGGCGCGUAGGUGGCCCGUUAAGUGGCUGGUGAAAUCCCGCGGCUCAACUGCGGGGCUGCCGGUCAUACUGGCGAGCUAGAGCACGGUAGGGGCAGAUGGAAUUCCCGGUGUAGCGGUGGAAUGCGUAGAGAUCGGGAAGAAUACCAGUGGCGAAGGCGUUCUGCUGGGCCGUUGCUGACACUGAGGCGCGACAGCGUGGGGAGCAAACAGG
rnacentral:rRNA from 1 species